AACCAUGGAGUAGUUUUUGUGUCUCUGAACAACUGGAUAUCAAUAUAUAGUUCAUCAACGACGAGAGCUACUCGUUUCGCUUUUAAUCUAUUUUCUUUGAAAAUUGGAUACAGAACUUUGCGCCGUUCUACAAUUUCCUUCGGAAACUGAUCAUUCAUGCCAAUUUUGGUCCCAGCAAGUCUUUUACCCAGGCUUUUAACCAUUAUUUUAUCUUUAAAUGAAGCAAAUUUGGCAACGAUUGGGCGUUUGUACCUCUGCCCUCUCUGUCCGAAGCGGUGUACACGUUCAAGUUGGAUCUUGUCGAUAACUUCGCGUGGAAUCUGAAGCGCUGUAAGAAGGAACUCUCUAACUACAGAUUCAGGAACUUCUCCUUCUUUCUCUUGGAUAUUUUUAUGUACAAAUCACCAACCAACCAUGAGGCACCAGAAAGGGUUGAUCUGGUGGUUUGACUAGUUUGACGCAAACUGCACAGGCAGUGCUGAACUUGUGGCCAAAAAGACAGACGACAAAGUGUUUAGCCUCUCCAGUAAACGAACAGUUCUGAAGGCUACAUACAGUGGUUCCACAAACUACUCAUGCACAAUGCACAACCCCAAUGGGGUCCAGGAGGGGAAGGCAUCACUUGAGAUCCCGUUUGUAUGUUCCACAGGUUCAAAAUAUGAUUUCGCUUCCGAUUCCACCACCAAAUGGCUAGCCCCGGUUGGGGUCAUAGGAUCUUGAUCAUUGGACUCCUUGCUGCGCUGCUGUUAUUUAAGAGGCGCUCCGCCCGACAUGAUCCUGCAGGUAAAGAAGCCGGAGGUGGAGGUCCUGGGCUGGCGUGGUUAGAUGUGGUCUGCGGUUGUGAGGCCGGUUGGACGUACUGCCAAAUUCUCUAAAACAACGUUGGAGGUGGCUUAUGGUACAGAAGUGAACAUUAAAUUCUCUGGCAACAGCUCUAAUGGAAAUUCCUGCAGUCAACAUGCCAAAUGCACACUCACUCAAAACUAGAGACAUCUAUGGCAUUGUGAUGUGUGACAAAACUGCGCAUUUUGGACUGGCCUUUUAUUGUCCCCAGCACAAGAUGCACCUGUGUAUUGAUGAUGUUGUUUAAUCAGCUUCGUGAUAUGCCUCACUUCUCAGGUGGAUGGAUUAUUUUUGCAAAGGAGAAAUGCUCACUAACAGGGAUGUAAACUAAUUGGUCAACAAGAUGAGAAAAAUAAGCUUUUUGUGCAUAUGGAACAUUUCUGGGAUCUUUUUUUUCAGCUCAUGAAACAUGGGUCCAACACUUUACAUGUUGCGUUCAUAUUUUUGUUCAGUAUAGUUUGUUUUAAGAUUUAUUGUAAUAGUAGGUUUUGUGUAAUUUUUUUCACAGGCACUCGAAGGCAGUCCACCUUGCCAUUAAUGAGUCUAAACAGUGACACUCCACAGGACCACCGUAACAGUCUCUAGUAAAUGAUUCGUUAACUGGUAGUCUCUGAAAGGGACUGUUUCCUUGACGAUCAAUAAGGGGUUUGUCACCAUCACUAUCUUUUGAUGGACUGUUUCCUGUUAAGUGUCCGAUGACAGUCACUUUGCCACUCAGGUCAUUCUGAUUGAGGCAUUUGUUUCUUCAUAAUCUACUGAUGAUGUCAGCCGUUAAGGUCUGUGGUUGAUUACAAAUGAUAUGUAACUGCC